AAUUUCGGACAAUGGGGGAAACCCUGAUCCAGCCAUCCCGCGUGUAUGACGAAGGCCUUCGGGUUGUAAAGUACUUUUGUCAGAGAAGAAAAGGUAUCCCCUAAUACGGGAUACUGUUGACGGUACCUGAAGAAUAAGCACCGGCUAACUACUUGCCAGCGGCCGCGGUAAUACGUAGGGUGCAAGCGUUAAUCGGAAUUACUGGGCGUAAAGCAUGUGUAGGCGGUUCGGAAAGAAAGAUGUGAAAUCCCAGGGCUCAACCUUGGAACUGCAGUUAUAACUGCCGAGCUAGAGUAUGUCAGGGGGGGGUAGAAUUCCACGUGUAGCAGUGAAAUGCGUAGAUAUGUGGAGGAAUACCGAUGGCGAAGGCAGCCCCCUGGGAUAAUACUGACGCUCAGACACGAAAGCGUGGGGAGCAAACAGG
rnacentral:rRNA from 1 species